UACGAAGGGGGCUAGCGUUGCUCGGAAUUACUGGGCGUAAAGCGCGCGUAGGCGGGUCGUUAAGUCGGGGGUGAAAUCCUGAGGCUCAACCUCAGAACUGCCUUCGAUACUGGCAAUCUCGAGUCCGGAAGAGGUUGGUGGAACAGCUAGUGUAGAGGUGAAAUGCGUAGAUAUCAGGAGGAACACCGAUGGCGAAGGCAGCUGCCUGGCCUAACACUGACGCUGAGGUGCGAAAGCGUGGGGAGCGAACGGG
rnacentral:rRNA from 1 species